AUUUUCGUUUUAACUUUUUACGCAAACUAUUUUGGAAAACUAAAGCAACAUUCCAAAAAAUAAGUUAAAGUUACCAGGCAACAGUGAUUAUUGGCUAUAUUACAACAAUAAAUUGUGUUGUAAACACAAUUUAUAAACUUUUCUAGUUGUUGUCUCUAUCAUUAAUCAAAAUAAUUUUUUCUGAAUAUAGCAUCUUGUUAAACUCCACACACAAAAAAUAAAUAAAUAAGAAAUUAAAACAAAACUUUUUUUCUACAUAAUGUGGAAGUUGUUUAUAUUGAAUAUCAUGCUAUUUAUGACAAUGCUAGUUUUUGGACGUUUGGAAAACACUCAUUUUCAUUACAAGUUAGAAAGCUCAAUGAAAAGUGAAAUGGACGUAUUAAAGAUUUUGGCAGAUAUUCACGAAGUAAAGCCGUCACGUAGAUUUAAACGUACCCCACCAUGUCCAGGCUGGUAAAAGUAAUGAAAAGUUAUGACAAAAAUAUUGACAACAACCAAUUUUUUUUUUCUUUUAUUAAAUCUUGUUAAAUAUAAAUACACCUACUUUUUA